GUAGCUCAGCUGGAUAGAGCGCUUGCCUCCGGAGCAAGAGGUCGUGAGUUCGAAUCUC
rnacentral:tRNA from 1 species